AAACUCCAGUGAUUCUGAACAAUCGAGUAGUGAAGAGACAGACGAAAGUUCGCAAGACUAGUAGUAGUGAUUGAGCCCAUACAGAGAAAUACAACUAUAGAAGUACUGUACACUUCCCAACAAGAAGUUAAAAGAAAAAGCCUAUCCUGAAAAUGCUCACAUAAGGGACAAAAGAUUCAUGGAAUUAAUAUUGGAACACAAGAAAAUAUUGACAACAAUGGAGUUAACCAUAAGUAACUUUCUCCCAUCGGACAAUUUGUAUAAAACUCAUCAUUAAUCAUAAGUAUGUACAAAUCUGAAACUUGUCUUCUAAAAUGAGAAAAUUUCAUUGCAGCAUUUUAUCAUUCUGUUUAGUCUUUUUACAAAUUUUAUUUUUGAAAUAUCAA